rnacentral:tRNA from 2 species
GCCGCCUUAGCUCAGUUGGUAGAGCAUCGCAUUCGUAAUGCGGGGGUCAGAGGUUCGAAUCCUCUAGGCGGCACCA